GCUGGGUUUAGGGGCGCAUGCCUGUAAUCCCAGCUGCUCAGGAGGCUGAGGCAGGAGGAUAGCUAGUUCAAAGCCAGCCUCAG
rnacentral:sRNA from 1 species